rnacentral:sRNA from 1 species
GACUACAAGGCUUCGGCAAACCGUCGGUGCAUUUUCUGAUUUCCAGCACAAAAACCUUUGAGCUUCUAUUAAUCAAUCAGCGUUGUCUUCUAUUAUUCUCGACUUCUAUAGCGAAUUGCGUCAGACAGUUAGUUGUUCAUGCCCAUCGCAGCUCCUCUAGCAGUGAGGAAUGAUAUCAGCAUGCACUAUAGCAGUUAUCGCUGUGGUAACGCCCAUAACCACGCCAGAGCACUCUGAUUAAGCAGCGAUAUCGAGAGAGUUAUUGUGUCCAGUUUCUCUUCCUUUUUUUUUCAUCGAAAGUUAUAGACAGAACACUUCAUCCCUUCCGCCACCCCGGCCUACUUCCACAAUCUGCAUAUAACUAUAACUGCCGGAGUCCACACCCCCAACGGCCCGAGCAAAAAGACAAAAUCGUUCUCUCCCUCUGAACCCACA